rnacentral:misc_RNA from 1 species
AAGAGAAAAUCUCCUUCAUCAAACUGGCUCCCUUAGUAUCCUCCCUAUACAUCAACCAACUAGAAAUGUCCGUGUUUUUCGGCAGCAACCCGAGAGUACUCCGGCCAGAGAGAUACAGGGUAUCCUCGUGAGAUACCCUCCUAAGCAACUCACAAAACUCUUAACACCAAAAAUGCGCAUUUGUUACGCCAAUCUUCUGUCAAGUCUAUUCUACUCAACUU